AGCUAGUUGGUGGGGUAAGAGCCUACCAAGGCAUCGAUCAGUAGCUGGUCUGAGAGGAUGAUCAGCCACACUGGGACUGAGACACGGCCCAGACUCCUACGGGAGGCAGCAGUGGGGAAUUUUCCGCAAUGGGCGAAAGCCUGACGGAGCAACGCCGCGUGAGGGAUGAAGGCCUCUGGGCUGUAAACCUCUUUUAUCAAGGAAGAAGAUCUGACGGUACUUGAUGAAUAAGCCACGGCUAAUUCCGUGCCAGCAGCCGCGGUAAUACGGGAGUGGCAAGCGUUAUCCGGAAUUAUUGGGCGUAAAGCGUCCGCAGGCGGCCUUAUAAGUCUGUUGUCAAAGCGUGGAGCUUAACUCCAUUUCGGCAAUGGAAACUGUGAGGCUUGAGUGUGGUAGGGGCAGAGGGAAUUCCCGGUGUAGCGGUGAAAUGCGUAGAUAUCGGGAAGAACACCAGUGGCGAAGGCGCUCUGCUGGGCCAUAACUGACGCUCAUGGACAAAAGCCAGGGGAGCGAAAGGGAUUAGAUACCCCUGUAGUCCUGGCCGUAAACGAUGAACACUAGGUGUCGGGGGAAUCGACCCCCUCGGUGUCGUAGCCAACGCGUUAAGUGUUCCGCCUGGGGAGUACGCACGCAAGUGUGAAACUCAAAGGAAUUGACGGGGGCCCGCACAAGCGGUGGAGUAUGUGGUUUAAUUCGAUGCAACGCGAAGAACCUUACCAGGGUUUGACAUCCUGCGAAUCCCUUGGAAACUUGGGAGUGCCUUCGGGAGCGCAGUGACAGGUGGUGCAUGGCUGUCGUCAGCUCGUGUCGUGAGAUGUUGGGUUAAGUCCCGCAACGAGCGCAACCCACGUCUUUAGUUGCCAGCAUUCAGUUGGGCACUCUAGAGAGACCGCCGGUGAUAAACCGGAGGAAGGUGUGGAUGACGUCAAGUCAUCAUGCCCCUUACAUCCUGGGCUACACACGUACUACAAUGCUACGGACAAAGGGCAGCAAACUCGCGAGAGCUAGCAAAUCCCAUAAACCGUGGCUCAGUUCAGAUCGUAGGCUGCAACUCGCCUACGUGAAGGAGGAAUCGCUAGUAAUCGCAGGUCAGCAUACUGCGGUGAAUACGUUCCCGGGCCUUGUACACACCGCCCGCCACACCAUGGAAGUUGGCCACGCCCGAAGCCGUUACUCCAACCCUUGUGGAGGAGGACGUCGAAGGUGGGGCUGAUGACUGGGGUGAAGUCGUAACAAGAUAGCCGUACCGGAAGGUGCGGCUG
rnacentral:rRNA from 1 species